GUACACUCCUGCGGGAGGCAGCAGUGGGGAAUUUUGGACAAUGGGCGAAAGCCUGAUCCAGCAAUGCCGCGUGAGUGAAGAAGGCCUUCGGGUUGUAAAGCUCUUUUGUCAGGGAAGAAACGGUGAAAGCUAAUAUCUUUUGCUAAUGACGGUACCUGAAGAAUAAGCACCGGCUAACUACGUGCCAGCAGCCGCGGUAAUACGUAGGGUGCAAGCGUUAAUCGGAAUUACUGGGCGUAAAGCGUGCGCAGGCGGUUUUGUAAGUCUGAUGUGAAAUCCCCGGGCUCAACCUGGGAAUUGCAAUGGAGACUGCAAGGCUAGAAUCUGGCAGAGGGGGGUAGAAUUCCACGUGUAGCAGUGAAAUGCGUAGAUAUGUGGAGGAACACCGAUGGCGAAGGCAGCCCCCUGGGUCAAGAUUGACGCUCAUGCACGAAAGCGUGGGGAGCAAACAGGAUUAGAAACCCGUGUAGUCCC
rnacentral:rRNA from 1 species